rfam:Parcubacteria bacterium GW2011_GWC1_43_12 TV67_C0008, whole genome shotgun sequence.
GCCGGAGUAGCUCAGUGGUAGAGCAGGCGCUUCGUAAGCGUCAGGCCGUGAGUUCAAUCCUCACCUCCGGCU